UUUCACACUUUAUCUAUAUAUCGGUAUAGCUAACAACCUUUUCACUUGUCUCUCCCUUUUAUUUGUUCACUUCACAAGGAAAAAUCUAUCUCAACUGUGUUUUUCCUUAAACGGUGAUUCAUGUUUGUUUGUGGAAUUAUCUUCCCAUAAAAAUCUGGUUUUUUUCAAGUUUUGAGAAAGAGAUUAUUGAUACAAAGGAAAAUGGAAGGAAAAAAGGAAGUGGGUUCUUCUUCUUUCACUUCUGAACUCUUUGGGUCCAAUUCCAACCAAUCACCUUCUUACGGAAUUUUUGGCUCUAUAUUUUCUCCUCCACCUAAGGUGUCAGGGAGAGAAUAUCUGAGCUAUGAACUUAGUGCAAAAACUUCCAAUGAAGGAUGGAGCUCCAAAAUUGGCACUCAAGAUUACAGGUACAAGAACAAUGAUGGUGAAAGUGGUAGCACAGAAAGAAAGGAUGUGAGUUCCAUUUACAAUGAACAAAGAGUUCAACCUUGUCACCUUAGCUCAUCAAUCUAUUAUGGUGGCCAGGAUAUUUAUUCUCAGACACAAACUACACAACAUUCUCGAUUUAACUCUAUGUACAAGAAAGAUGGAGCAGAAGAUGAUUCAGGAAGUGCUUCAAGAGGAAAUUGGUGGCAAGGGUCUCUCUAUUAUUAAGACCACACUUACCAAGGGAUAUACUUCUAAAGGUAAGUUGAAGGAUAGUUUGGCAAUAUAUUUCAUCUUUUGUUCUAUGGAAGUGUUAUAUGAUGUUGUUGAUGGUUAGAUUCUUUCUACAGCCAAAGAAUCUACAAUAUAUCUGAUCCUUAGUAAUGUAAAUAAUUUCUUAUUCAGCAUUAGUAAUCUAAAUGUCCUAUGGUAUAGUUGUAUACAAACUCUAUUUAUAUUCAGC
rnacentral:lncRNA from 1 species